rnacentral:rRNA from 1 species
GGCAGCACGGGGGCAACCCUGGUGGCGAGUGGCGAACGGGUGAGUAAUACAUCGGAACGUGCCCAGUCGUGGGGGAUAACGUAGCGAAAGUUACGCUAAUACCGCAUACGAUCUACGGAUGAAAGCGGGGGACCGUAAGGCCUCGCGCGAUUGGAGCGGCCGAUGUCAGAUUAGGUAGUUGGUGAGGUAAAGGCUCACCAAGCCGACGAUCUGUAGCUGGUCUGAGAGGACGACCAGCCACACUGGGACUGAGACACGGCCAAGACUCCUACGGGAGGCAGCAGUGGGGAAUUUUGGACAAUGGGCGCAAGCCUGAUCCAGCCAUUCCGCGUGCAGGACGAAGGCCUUCGGGUUGUAAACUGCUUUUGUACGGAACGAAAAGGCUCUGGUUAAUACCCGGGGCUCAUGACGGUACCGUAAGAAUAAGCACCGGCUAACUACGUGCCAGCAGCCGCGGUAAUACGUAGGGUGCAAGCGUUAAUCGGAAUUACUGGGCGUAAAGCGUGCGCAGGCGGUGAUGUAAGACAGAUGUGAAAUCCCCGGGCUCAACCUGGGAACUGCAUUUGUGACUGCAUCGCUGGAGUGCGGCAGAGGGGGAUGGAAUUCCGCGUGUAGCAGUGAAAUGCGUAGAUAUGCGGAGGAACACCGAUGGCGAAGGCAAUCCCCUGGGCCUGCACUGACGCUCAUGCACGAAAGCGUGGGGAGCAAACAGGAUUAGAUACCCUGNUAGUCCACGCCCUAAACGAUGUCAACUGGUUGUUGGGUCUUCACUGACUCAGUAACGAAGCUAACGCGUGAAGUUGACCGCCUGGGGAGUACGGCCGCANGGUUGAAACUCAAAGGAAUUGACGGGGACCCGCACAAGCGGUGG